rnacentral:rRNA from 1 species
CCUACGGGUGGCAGCAGUGAGGCAUAUUUGUCAAUGGGCGCGAGACUGAACCAGCCAAGUAGCGUGCAGGAUGACUGCCCUACGGGUUGUAAACUUCUUUUAUAAGGGCAUAAAGUGAGGCACGUGUGACUUUUUGUAUGUACUUUAUGAAUAAGGAUCGGCUAACUCCGUGCCCGCAGCCGCGGUAAUACGGAGGAUCCGCGCGUUAUCCGGAUUUAUGGGUUUUAAAGGGAGGGUAGACGGGAUGUUACGUCAGUGGUGACAUGUUGUGGCUCAACCGUAAAAUUGCAAUGGUUACUGGCAGGCUUGAGUGCAGUGGAGGUAUGCGGAAUUCGUGGUGUAGCGGUGAAAUGCUUAGAUAGCACGAAGAACUCCGAUUGCGAAGGCAGCUUACUAAAGUGCCACUGACAUUGAAGCUCGAAAGCGUGGGUAUCAAACAGGAUUAGAUACCCGUGUAGUC